CAAGUUCCAGUGUUCCCCCAGCACCCGUGACCAUGGAGUCAUAGAAUCACAGAAUUAGAGAAUCAUAGAAUGCUGGGUUGGAAGGGACCUCAAGGAUCGUCUGGUCUAACCUUUCUUAGCAAAAGCGUGGUCUAGAUAAGAUAGCCCAGCACCUUGUCCAGCUGAAUCUUAAAGGUGUUCAGUGUUGGGGAAACCAUCACUUCCCCACAGGAAGAAAAAGGACUUUUCUGCUGUACAUCUGGAGUCUGAAAAUGACCAAGGAAGCUGCCUGAACUCUCUUACAACCUAAAAUGGUUCAGCCUUACUAUGGACUGAAUAAGGACAGCCAACCUUACAAACAGCCAUACUUACCAACUGCAUCUGUUUGCCUAGAAGAAAAAAAAUUAUGAAUUAUUUUCUGUAAUCAUAAUCCUGUAUUUUGGCUCCUGUCAGUUUGUGAGUAACAAACCAAUCUCAGUCCCACAAAUUUUAAAAGAGAACAAAACCCCAUGAAGUAUAUAUAACAUUAGCUGAAUGGAACUAAAAUAGCCAUCCAUCUCGCAAGGAGAAAACCACACUUGAUCUAGGGAAAAGGACUGUAUUCUCCUUGUGCUGGAGAUUAAAAAUAUAUCAUAUCUAAUAUGAAACAAAAGCAACACUAUUCCCAGUAUAGAGAUGAAAACCAGAACUUCUAGAGUAAAUCUGAAGGGAUAAAGGAGUUACUAAAAAAUCACGUGACUAUGAGUCCUUGCUAACAUUUCUCCACUUGUCAGUCUACUAUUUUCACAAUUUUUAAUGUUUCUUUGCUUGCAUCUUACACUGUACAGUCUAUAUUAGGGCUCCUUAAAACAUCCCGUGGAAAAUCUUGGCACAAAAGACAAUCUUGAGACAAUGCCACCUCCAGCCCACCACUUCUGCUGCAUGUACCACCCCAGCAGCAGAUGCAUCCUCACCACCAGAGUUCCCUUCCUUAUUGGGUGUGUGGUGUAUAAUCAUGGUAUAUAAUAAAGCUAUUAUGUGUACAGUGAUGAGUGCUCUGAACUGAAACAAACCAACUCAGGCACCGAGAGAUGGAGACAUGGAUCUGGCUGAAAGAUUUUCUCCCCAGGUUAGUCUGUAGGUGAAUUUACUCCGCAGGUAGCCAUGCAAACAGUUGUGCUGCAUGUCCACAGGAAAUGGAUGUACAGCUGAGCUCUGUGAGACAGGGAAACCAUUUUUAAUUAUCUCUUCAAAGCUCACAUAUUAAGUGGAAGCACAUAACACACAGCCUUUACAAAGGUCUCUAACACAAAUUCACUGAAUUUUAGGUGACACUGUUGUAAACAGGGUUCAGACCAGAACAAUAAUGCAUCCUCAUGCUGUCUCCUGCUCUAGUCUCCUCAUGACUCUGAGCUAGUGCUUAAGCAUAGGUCAGAUCAUUUUGAAAGUCCAUUCUGUUCCUUCCCUGCUGUAUGUGGUUUCUUUUAUUCUUCUACCCUAUUCUAUAUUUACCCUUAGUCAUCUGUCCUUUUCCUUUUCUCUAUCAAAAAUGACUAGAGAAAAGUGUUUUCUAUUAUUGUCUCCCUUUGAUGUCUCCAUAAGACUCAACAGGCAUCUCUGGUGAUGCUGAUGUGAAUUCAGAAAUAAAAAUAUUGUGAAGUAUACUGUGAAAAUACUCCAAAAUAUCCCCCAAAUGGCAACCAACAUUUUAUUCCAGUCAAAAUUAUUUUCCCUUCUAUUUUUCUGUGUGACCAAUAAACCAAUCCCUUCUUUAGCUUUGGCCAUUCUCUCCCACCAACCCCUUACUCUCACUCUUGGUCUUCCUUCUACAUCUGCUAGCCGUCCUCAGGUGCCAGGACAUAUUUAACAUCACCAAAGAUAAGAGCUUUCCAAUUAUUAACUACAGUGUUAAAUGGACAUACCUUGCCUUGAUCAGUAAUGCAUUGUUGUGUAUAAAUAAUGAGUGCUGUGUAUAUAUGCAGCUUCACUCAGCAAGGUGGAGUAGGACAUAGGCAGGAAUUUGUGAUUUUGUCCACACUGGUGGCUGCUCAAGAAAGAAAUGUUCAGCUCAACUAAUAGACAUCCUUCUCCUUAGGGUAAAGUGCAGACAGGACAGACAUCUACCUCCAGGAGCCUGAAGCACAAAUUUUAACUUGUGAUACCCACAGCUGUAAUCGCAGUGUGUAAACUGACUGGUGUUACUUCACCUACAUGAAAAUCCACUCACAAGCUAAUCUCCUGUUUAAUCUAGAGAGGUGAAGAUUAAGUGAAAGUUGCAAGAAGUUGCUGUAUGCCUUCCUAUAUUGAAAUAGGAACAAAAUGUCUUUUGAAAAUUUCAUCCAGAUGUUUUUUCUAAGACUGUCUUGUUGCAGUUUUACGUGCGUGCUCACAUACACAUGCACACACGUGUGUGUGCACACACACUGUCAUGUAGAUUUUUUAUUCCCUCAUGCAUUUCCUCCUUCCUGAAAUAAAUACAGUUUGUGGAUGAAGAAAUGUAGGUUUGCAAGCUUCCCAAGAUAACAGCAUUGUCUGGAUUAGACCACAUUUCCUUGUUUCCUUCCACUGCCAUUUCAAGAAUUUAUCAUUAAAAUAAAACUCUUAAAAGACAGAGAAGAGUUGGGCUUAAAAGACAGAGAAGAGCAUUGUUGGGCUUUUGGGAUAGCUGCUGUGGCGGCAUGGCACCCCAGAGAGAAUUGAGUUGGACAAUGGGACUCAUUUAAAAAAUAGCCUCAUAAAUACCUGGACUAGAGAGCAUGGUAUUGAGUGUGUGUAUCAUAUUCCCUAUCCUGCACCAACCUCUGGGAAAAUUGAAUGGGACAAUGGACUGUUGAAUACCACACUGAAAGCAAUGGGUGGUGGAACCUUCAGACAUUGGGAUACACAUUUAGUGGAGGCCACCUGGUUAUUUAACACUAGAGGCUCCACCAAUAGAGCUGGCCUUGCACAAUAAAAACCUCCCUGGAUGAUUAAAGGGGAUAAAGUCCCUGUGAUGCAUAUGAGGAAUGUGUUAGGGAAGACAAUUUGGAUUAGUCCUGCUGCAAGCAAAAGCAAACCCAUCUAUGAGAUUGUUUUUACUCAAGGGCCUGGGUGUACUUGGUGGAUAAUGCAGAGGAACGGGGGAGCGCAAUGUGUACCUCAAGGGGACUUGAUUUUUGGGUGAGAACAGUCUGUAUUGUUGAAUUGUAUAAUACUGGUUGCUGAAUGACACUGCCACUGUAUGCCAUAACUACCAUGGACAAUGAGCAUGGAUUGCUUCAGAUACACCACUCGUGAGCUCCUUAUGCAUCUUAUAACCAGCAGACAGCUCACCAGCUCUCGGCUCUGGAAGACAUCUAGGACAGAUAGAACCCACAGUCAUGGACUAAAUGAACUCAACAGACAACUUCCAUUGACUAUGGAAAUGAUACCUGAGCUUGUGUGUAGAUAUAAUGAUAGAUAGAUAGAUAUAGAUAUAGGUAUAUGUAUAUAUGUAUAUAACUGGAAGGUGUAGGAUCUGGGCAUGAUGUAGAUGGUGUAAAAUAAGGGCUGGAUAAUGUCCUGGUUCUACCCAGGACAGGGUUAAUUUUUGCAGUGGCUAUGACCCGGAGGCUACUCUAUACCACCUCACCUUCCAGUCAGGGUAGCAUUGUGCAGUCAGGUAUUGUCGGGGCUUUUCCAUGUGGUGAACUCUCAUGUAUGAAUCAUUCACCAUUCUUGUACACCCUUUUAUUAAUAUUGUUGCUGUUACUGUUAAUUUAUUAUUUCAUUGCUGUUUCCAAUAAAUUGUUCUUAUUCAA